rnacentral:lncRNA from 1 species
GGAAGAUGAAAAGUCCAAGACUGACAGAAGAAUCAGAGCAAGGAUGAAGCAGAGUAAAAUGAAGUACAGGCAAGAUGGAAAAACCAGAAUUCUCUCCCUGGCUCUGGAGUGGCGUGAUUUACCUGGAGCUCAGAGUUUGCCUUGGGAUUUUUUUCAAUUUGGUGUUCCUGGAACUGAAUGGCUUUGGCAUUUGUGUUAACAACUUAUUUGCUACCUCUGUGGUUAAGUGGGCUUCAGAGUGAGACUUUCUGGAAUGCAAAUCUGCCUGGGAACACUUGAAUGACCACAGGCAAGUUCUUGAGCUUCUCCAGGCCUCUGUGCAUAUGGACAGACAGCUCCAGAAAAUGGAAACUACAUUUUCCUUUGCAGAAUUGUAUGAGUGGCCAAUGUGGUAGGGCAC